CUGGGGUAGACACUGUUCUCACCCGUGGCUCUCCUGCCUGGCUGCACAUCGGAAACACCUGGCAUUGUGUUACCGACCAUGAUGCCCAGACUCCCUACCAAGCUAAUCAGAUCAGAAUCUCUGUAGGACUGGGAAAGGGGAUUUUUUUUUUUAAUCUUCCCAGGGAAUUAUAACAUGAAUGUAGAGUUAAGAACACUGUUCUAGACCCACAGUUUUGAUCUGGGAUGGAAAGACAGGGAUUUAUGUCACCUGCCAGUGGACACAUGUCUGUGUACUGUUAGAAAAGGCAUUCUGCUUCUAUGUGCCUCGGACUCUUCAUGUGUGCAAAAGGAUUAGAAAGGUGAGCUCUCUCCCAUGCUUCUAUGCAAGCGAAGGGUGGAAAACAGGACAGAAAACCUUGCCCCAAGGAAGAGCAUCUCUGGGAUUCUCAAGUUCUGUUGCUCAGGUAAACACGUGUACAUGAGCUCUACAGAUGCGACUUCCCAGCCGUUUUACUACAAGAGGAACAAACGUAGACGCGUGAGUGUCCUGCUCUGCCUCCAUGAACUGACAUUUCUAAAGGGAAGCUGAUGACACCAGGCUAAAUCAGUGAUGCCUUCAUUGCAGCAGCCAUGGGGUGGUGUCAACCUGGAGCCUUGCAAACUCCCAAACUUGGUCUCUGCAAAGGAUUUCAGGAAGGCAAGAGCCUCUUGUCUUAGCUGCCAUCGGCCUGGAAACAGACCUGCUCCAUUUGGAUUCUGGGAAAAUAGAACAAAUGAUUAAGUAAAUUUGAUAAAACAACACUUGUUCAUUCUUGGUGAAGGAUACAUGGACAUAUGCAACACCUGUGAGUCUGAAGUAAUUUCAAGAUGAAAAUGUGCAUCAAAUUUCCCUAUGGUUGCUGUAGUUGUUGUUACAAUUUCUUUCAGAGGGAAGGCAAAUGGGGAAAAAUCAAAUCUGUGCCCUGGAUAGUUAACUUUUGUAGACUGCCUUUUUUGUUGAAGUAUGGCUUCUGUAACAAACAGGAUUGGAUGUCUUGGGUUGGGCAAGAAGUUUGUCCUGUAAGAUGGUACAGAAAAACCCAAAAGAGCUUCUUGGCCAUGUCAAUGGUUAUGCUUGCAGAUUGACAGCUGAGUAAGGGAUCCUGCUCUGUAGGCAAUGGAUGCAAAAGCCUUUCUGUUUUCUGACUUUGUUUGUUUUUGUUUUUGUUUUUUAAUACCACCCCUGGUAACUUACACUAUUGUCAAACCAUUUUAACUU